rnacentral:tRNA from 1 species
CAGAGAAUAGUUUAUUUAAAAUUUUAAUUUUGGAGAUUAAUGAAAAGGUUGUUUCCUUUUCUCUGA